AACAUGUUUCUCUCUUUUGAUUCAUGUUUUUGGAGGUUUUUGUGUAGAAACCCUAGAAAUGGAAAAACUAGAGUUUCUUUGGAAAUUUUCGAUUUGGGAUUUUUGGAGCUCAAUUUAUUGGUUUAGAACCUUCCUUUAGGUUGGAAUAGAAGUGCUCUAGCCUUCUUUGGGAUUUAAGAAAGUUUUUCCUACAUUUAGGUGAGUUUUUGCUUUUUUUUUGGGUUGGUUAAAGAUGAACACUUUGGGUGUUCGUUCGUUUCGUUUAACCUUCUUAGAAUUUUCUUUAGAGAGGUAGAAGACUUGUGGGCAUCUUCGUUUGCGCAAACGAAAGGGUUACAAGGAGCUCUUGGUAACACAUGUCACCCUCUCAAAGCAUUCACCUUAUGGACGUUCCCAUUCUUCUUUUGCUCACGUUAGUCGCCAUUGGCGCUACACGCAUGUACCAUAGCAUCAUCGAUCAUUGAAAGCUCCCGUAGACGAUGAUACCGCAUCAUGGCCGGCAGUCGGAAGGUUUCCAUGAUGGCUUCCAGUGAGAGACCACACCACACUCCACAGCUCACUGGAAGCCCUUCCAUAGAUGUGGUUGUUUCCUAGAAUGGCACUGGGAACUACACGACAGUGAUGGCAGCUGUAGAUGGAGCGCCGCCGAGCAGCGGACAUCAAUACGUCAUCCACAUUAAUUCAGAGAGGAACGCACAAUGAAUACGUCUCCGUCGAGAAGCCGAAUGUAGUAUUUGUGGGGGACGGGAUGGAGGUGACGGUGAUCACCGGCAGCCACAGUGUGGCCUAUGAUUGGUUGACGUCUGACAGCGGCACAGUUAGUAAGUAUUUUAUUUUUAUUAUAUUUCAAGUUAUGAUUCAUAGCUUAGGGCUUAUAGUUUUGGAAUAGUAGAUAUCUCAUCAAUGUGAAGGAGAAUUGUUAAAUUUUUUUUUUUUUUUUUGGGAAUAUUGAAUUUUAGAAUGUAAAAGGUGUAUUGAAUUUGAAGAAUAAGAUUAGGGAUCGAUGGAAUGCAACUAUUAUGUAGAUUGAGUUUAUUAGGAUCAUAAAUUGUAAGUUUUCGUUGAUGAUUAAUGUUAAUUUUUUCCUGUUGAAUUUGAUUAAA